ensembl:lncRNA
AGAAUAACAAUAGAGGGGCUGUAUACAGGGUAUUACGGUACAGAGUCAAUGUGGAGGCUAUAUACAGGGGGGGUGCCGGUACAGAGUCAGUGUGGAGGCUAUAUAUAGGGGGUGUCGGUACAGAGUCAAUGUGGAGGCUAUAUACAGGGGGUACCGGUACAGAGUCAAUGUGGAGGCUAUAUACAGGGGGGGUACUGGUACAGAGUCAGUGUGGAGGCUAUAUACAGGGGGUGCCGGUACAGAGUCAAUGUGGAGGCUAUAUAUAGGGGGUGUCGGUACAGAGUCAAUGUGGAGGCUAUAUACAAGGGGGUACUGGUACAGAGUCAAUGUGGAGGCUAUAUACAGGGGGUACCGGUACAGAGUCAAUGUGGAGGCUAUAUACAGGGGGUGUCGGUACAGAGUCAAUGUGGAGGCUAUAUACAGGGUGUACCGGUACAGAGUCAAUGUGGAGGCUAUAUACAGGGGGUACCGGUACAGAGUCAGUGUGGAGGCU